rnacentral:rRNA from 1 species
AGAGUUUGAUCAUGGCUCAGGAUGAACGCUGGCGGCGUGCCUAAUACAUGCAAGUCGAACGGGGAGUACUUACUUCGGUUUUUACUCCUAGUGGCGAACGGGUGAGUAACGCGUUGGUGACCUGCCCCGAAGAGGGGAACAACAGUUCGAAAGGACUGCUAAUACCCCAUGUGGUCGUACUGGUUAGAGGCUGUACGACUAAAGGAGUAAUCCACUUCGGGAGGGGCCUGCGUCCCAUCAGCUAGUUGGUAAGGUAACGGCCUACCAAGGCGAAGACGGGUAGGGGGCCUGAGAGGGUGGCCCCCCACACUGGCACUGAAACACGGGCCAGACACCUACGGGUGGCAGCAGUAGGGAAUAUUGCACAAUGGGCGAAAGCCUGAUGCAGCAACGCCGCGUGCGCGAAGAAGGCCUUCGGGUUGUAAAGCGCUUUUCUGGAGGAAGAGAAAGGACGGUACUCCAGGAAUAAGGAUCGGCUAACUACGUGCCAGCAGCCGCGGUAACACGUAGGAUCCGAGCGUUAUCCGAAUUUACUGGGCGUAAAGCGCGUGUAGGCGGCCGGGUAAGUUGGACGUGAAAGCUCCUGGCUCAACUAGGAGAGGUCGUUCAAAACUGCCUGGCUAGAGGGCGACAGAGGGAGGUGGAAUUCCCGGUGUAGUGGUGAAAUGCGUAGAUAUCGGGAGGAACACCAGUGGCGAAGGCGGCCUCCUGGGUCGCCCCUGACGCUCAGACGCGAAAGCUAGGGGAGCAAACGGGAUUAGAUACCCCGGUAGUCCUAGCUGUAAACGAUGUGGACUUGGCGUUGGUGGGGUCAAAUCCAUCAGUGCCGAAGCUAACGCGAUAAGUCCACCGCCUGGGGACUACGGCCGCAAGGUUAAAACUCAAAGGAAUUGACGG